GUACGCUGGCGGCACGCCUUAUACAUGCAAGUCGAACGAAGUAGCAAUACUUAGUGGCAGACGGGUGAGUAACAUGUAGGUAUCUUCCCUUUGGUGAGGAAUAACACGAGGAAACUUGUGCUAAUACCUCAUAAGUCUUUACGGAGAAAGCUUUAUGCGCCGAAGGAUGAGCCUGCACUUGAUUAGUUUGUUGGUGGGGUAAUGGCCUACCAAGACUUUGAUCUAUAGCUGAUCUGAGAGGAUGAUCAGCCACAUUGGGACUGAGACACGGCCCAAACUCCUACGGGAGGCAGCAGUAGGGAAUAUUGCACAAUGGAGGAAACUCUGAUGCAGCGAUGCCGCGUGAGUGAAGAAGGCCUUUGGGUUGUAAAACUCUUUCGUCGGGGAAGAAAAUGACUGUACCCGAAUAAGAAGGUCCGGCUAACUUCG
rnacentral:rRNA from 1 species